rnacentral:rRNA from 1 species
UGAGGAAUCUUCCGCAAUGGGCGAAAGCCUGACGGAGCGACACCGCGUGGAGGAUGACGCGUUUACUCGUGUAAACUCCUUUUCUGUGGGAAGAUAAUGACGGUACCACAGGAAUAAGGGGCGGCAAACUACGUGCCAGCAGCCGCGGUAAUACGUAGGCCCCAAGCGUUAUCCGGAAUUACUGGGUGUAAAGCGUCUGUAGGUGGGAAUGCAAGUCUCUCAUGAAAGACCGGAGCUCAACUCCGUGUUUGUGAGAGAUACUACAUUUCUAGAAUCGGGGAGAGGGAAGCAGAAUUGUAUGAGUAGGGGUGCAAUCCGUUGAUACAUACAAGAAUACCAAAAGCGAAGGCAGCUUCCUGGAACCGUAUUGACACUGAGAGACGAAAGCGUGGGGAGCGAAAAGGAUUAGAUACCCAUGUAGUCCCUGAGCGGGCUGGCAAGGCGCAU